rnacentral:rRNA from 1 species
AUUGAACGCUGGCGGCAGGCCUAACACAUGCAAGUCGAGCGGUUGACGGGAGCUUGCUCCCUGAUUCAGCGGCGGACGGGUGAGUAAUGCCUAGGAAUCUGCCUAUUAGUGGGGGACAACGUUUCGAAAGGAACGCUAAUACCGCAUACGUCCUACGGGAGAAAGCAGGGGACCUUCGGGCCUUGCGCUAAUAGAUGAGCCUGGGUCGGAUUAGCUAGUUGGUGAGGUAAUGGCUCACCAAGGCGACGAUCCGUAACUGGUCUGAGAGGAUGAUCAGUCACACUGGAACUGAGACACGGUCCAGACUCCUACGGGAGGCAGCAGUGGGGAAUAUUGGACAAUGGGCGAAAGCCUGAUCCAGCCAUGCCGCGUGUGUGAAGAAGGUCUUCGGAUUGUAAAGUACUUUAAGUUGGGAGGAAGGGCAGUAAGUUAAUACCUUGCUGUUUUGACGUUACCGACAGAAUAAGCACCGGCUAACUCUGUGCCAGCCGCCGCCGUAAAAC